UACGUAGGUGACGAGCGUUGUCCGGAUUUACUGGGCGUCAAGAGCGCGCAGGCGGUCGUUCAAGUCGAGUGUGAAAGCCCCCGGCUCAACUGGGGAGGGUCACUCGAUACUGAUCGACUCGAAGGCAGGAGAGGGUAGUGGAAUUCCCGGUGUAGUGGUGAAAUGCGUAGAUAUCGGGAGGAACACCAGUGGCGAAGGCGACUACCUGGCCUGUUCUUGACGCUGAGGCGCGAAAGCUAGGGGAGCAAACGGG
rnacentral:rRNA from 1 species